GGGUGCAGGCUCUGGAGGAGAAGGAUCGGAGGGAGCGGAAGAAGUUGGCGGACGAGGAAGCUCUGCGGAAGAUAAAGAUCGCUGAGGAACAAAUUGAUCAUUUACAGCGAAAACUCAGCGCAACCAAACAGGAGGAGGAGGCUCUGUUGUCGGAGAUGGACGUCACGGGUCAGGCCUUCGAGGACAUGCAGGAGCAGAACAUCCGCCUGAUGCAGCAACUGCGCGA